AGCAAGACCUCCAUGAUCCUUCCCACGACUUGGCCUCAUGAUCCUUAGUUCUAAUUUUGACCUCCUUGUAUUAAAAUUAUGCAGUUUUUUGCUGUAAUUUUUAUUGAACGGAAAUUAAAAAAAGUAAAAAAUAAAAGAGAAAUAAAAAGAAAUAAGCCAAUAAUCCAGCUAAAAGAAAACAAAACAGCACUAUAAUAAGACACGCGAUAGUUUAUCAACUUUUUUUCUAAUUAAUUAGGAAAAGUUUAUAAUCAGUUAUUUUCUACCUACCAAAGGAAAGAGUUAUAUAGAAAACCAAUCCACAUUUCAUGUUUUCCUUUUUGUUUCUUUAAUUUAUGUUAAUUAUUCUUUAUACACCGACAUUCAAGGUUUCCCCUUUAAUUACCUUUUAACUUCACUAUUCUCUUUACUUUCACGACCAAGAAUGUCCAGGUUCACUCUAUUCACCGCCAUGGGAUAUUAAUGGAGGUUAACUUUUGCGGUUUGUCCUUGCUGCAAAUCUUAUUGGACUUCCUGCUAUAGCUGUGCCUGUGAAGAAUGACAAACAAGGGCUUCCAAUAGGAAGGCAACUGAUUGGCCCUCCAUGGGCAGAAGCAUCAAUUUUAAGUUUGGCUUUUGCAGUAGAGGAACUCUUUGGAAACUCCAAGAAGAGGCCCGAAUCAUACUUCGAUAUUUCAACUGCCUGACUUUACCGGUGGUUUGUUGUCAUGUUUGCUAGAAAUACAAAUUAUAUGAUAUGAUAAUUAGUAAUUAUAUGAUAUGAUACUUUGAUUACUAUAUGAUAUGAUAAAUUAUAGAAAUAUAAAUUUCUGCCAUAUAACUUUAGGACUCAAAUUCUUCAUAGACGUAUGACUUUCCAUGAAGUCAUUAAUUUGAAUCUCUUGGGCAGGAGACUCGGAGUUUAUAGAUGAAAAAGUUUUUAAGUUUCUGGCUUUCCUUUUUUUUUUUUUUUUUUUGGCUUUAAAACUUUAAAUUUUCUGUUGGGUCUGUGUUCAAAAUAAGUGUAUUCGAUCAAAUUUUAAUGUUUUCCAAUUAUAUAUAUAUAUAUAUGUAGAUAUAUAUAUUUCUUCGUGAAUUAGGGUAUUAUUUUUUUAAAUAUAAUUGUUUCAAGUUGAACAAAAUGUGUGAAGGAAACGGAUUUAGUUCUUAGUAUAUUUCAACAAUUUAUUUUAUGAAUUUGAAUAUAUUGCGCUACAUAUUUCUCCAUGUGGCUUAUUGUUAAACAAACAUAGAUCACAAACCCUUUAGAUGUGUUUCAAUAUCACUACCUAAAUUGCAUAUAAAUGUUACAUUUUAUAGUUAAGAUAGAAUAUGUUGGAAUCAUACAGCAGAGUAGAAGUCAAAAAUCACAUAGUUGAAUAUAAUAUAUAAUAAAUAUAUUUUUAUCACCCAUUAGUAUUGGUGCAGAAAAUAUCAGAUCUGCAUGUGGGCGUAUCUGAUCACAAAAAGAAAUAAGAAGGUUAAUCUGAAAAACACAUCACUAUUUUUCUCUCAAGAUGUUUAAUUUUCUAUUGAGAUUCUAAUUCUCUAGAAAAUAAUACGUAAUCGUAUGUUAUUAGAAGUUAAUCCUAUUGUAUUUAUAGACUGCU